CUCUUGCGAACUCUUCUUUUCUUUUUAUCCCGCCAUCAAUUGGCCGGGAGAAAGAGUGUGUUUUCUGUGCUGUUGAGACCAAAAUUAAAUGGUGUAGAGGCGAUUUUUUUGCGAAUAGACAGUGAGAACGUGACGAAAAGUGUGGGAAUGGCGAAAAAAUCUGCCAAUUUGCUGUUCCCGGAACUCCCCGAAGUGGACGGAAGGCCCAAUUUACUUCUGUGAUCAAUAACCGCACGUUGAGUGACCAUUUCAAUUUGCUGAACUCGAUCGCCAGAUGAUUAUUCCAUGUAGCAGAAUAGUGGUUAAAACUGUGGACUGAGUGAGACGUGCAUGUGGAUGGCGAGGCGCUCUCUGGGGCCACAGGAGCUCCCCAACCGCCCCACUCAGUGAUAGUGCAGCGAGUCGAAUGGGCCGCAAAUUGACAUUGUAGCCGACACCAACGUAUGAACAUGUCCGCCACAAAGAGGAUGCCCCAGGGCCAUAAAGUGACGUCCAGUGGACAGGGAUUGCACA